UUGGAGGGCAAGUCUGGUGCCAGCAGCCGCGGUAAUUCCAGCUCCAAUAGCGUAUAUUAAAGUUGUUGCCGUUAAAAAGCUCGUAGUUGAACCUUGGGCCUGGCUGAUCUGUCCUCCUAAUCGAGCGCACGGAUUCGGUCGGGCCUUUCCUUCUGGGGAGCCCGAUGUCCUUCACUGGGCGUCGUGGGGAACCAGGACUUUUACCUUGAAAAAAUUAGAGUGUUCAAAGCAGGCCUUUGCUCGAAUACAUUAGCAUGGAAUAAUAGAAUAGGACAG
rnacentral:rRNA from 1 species